rnacentral:lncRNA from 1 species
UCCCCCUGUGCCUCUGCAUUGUUAACCAAGUAGCUGCACAGCCAAAAGGCCAGAGACUGGGGUGGGGAUGUAUUGUUGGAGGCGCCUGCGCGGCCAAGCCAUCAGCUGGUGGGCCUGCCCAGGGGGGUCCUUCUCACCCUGUCCUGGUGGCUGGUGGAAAGCUGGUGGAGCAAGCUGGAGCAAGCAGUUCCUGGUCAGCCUGCAACCGCUUGGCCCCACUUGGCCCCUCCGGCUCUGUUCGGCCAACGGUCAGCUGGUGGGCCUGCCCAGGAGGGUCCUCCUCACCCUGUCCUGGAAAAUGUUAACAUACAGGAACCAAAUUUCAAUCUAAGGCUUGAGGCUUUACAGUGCCAGGUGACUUUCCCAAGGUGACCCUUGUGAUGAGAUGAAGGCUUCAGCUCUAAUAUUUGUCCUCAUUCCAGCAGUAGGAAGGACAUGUCCAGAAGAUUUACACUUGUUUUUGUUAACAUUGCAUUGACCAGGGCUCAGACCUGCUUCUGUAUUGCUAGGAGAUAUGGUGAGCAAUGUACCUUCAGUUCUGGGACACUGUGCUCUGCCUAUGUAUUAUGGGGAAACCUAUGAAUUUGUAAGAAGGGAAAACAUCUUGAGAGAAAAGUAGCCAUUUUGCCACCCACAGGAUUCUUCUGACUUUCACUUCUUUGAAACAAUCUGGUUUUUCCCAGUGUUAAAUAUAGAAGGGCUGAAGGGAGGGCAGGGGAAUGGGGAAAAAAAAAUAAGAACCAAGAUGUAUCAUGUAGAGGUUUCCAAUGAUGAAUGUCAUCAUAUUGUAUAACUAAAAUGUACCAAUAAACUUAAUGAAUAAAAAAAUAUGUUUACUCUGAAGUCUGCAGGAGUGUGACUCCUGAAAAUAUGUUGAUACAAUGGUUUGUCAUUUAAAUUUUAUCAUAUUAUAAAAUUUGGCUGAAAUCAGAAAUAGGAUCAAAAUAUUAUCAGUAUUAAAAAACACACAAAACCUUAAAUUUCUACAUAAAAUUUUUUAUAUCUCACCAAUAAAUGGAAAAUCCAUUAUCAUUUCCCAUAAAUAAGAAAUCACAAUAUACAUGUAUACCUAUAAAUAAUUCUAGACCUCUGACUUCUCCAUAUGCCAAUUUUCCUGUUUAGAGAAAAGCAAGUCUAAAAGUUCUUGUUUUAUGUAGAUUUAUUUAAUUCUCCCCUUUUCUUUCCUUUCUUCCUUUUAUUUCCUUAUUUUUAUGUUACCCAGAAGUUUUAAAUUU